GGCGGGAUAGCAGAGUGGUUAUGCAGCGGCCUGCAAAGCCGUCGACGCCGGUUCGAUUCCGACUCCCGCCUCCA
rnacentral:tRNA from 2 species